rnacentral:rRNA from 1 species
CUUAAUCCAACAUCGAGGUCGCAAACCCCCCUGCCGAUAAGAACUCUCAAGGGAGAUAACGCUGUUAUCCCUAAGGUAAUUUAAUCUUACAAUCAAAAUAAAUGGAUCAAACAAAUAUAAAUAAAUAUAACAACACAAAGGAGGGGUUAAAUUAUAUCCCUCCCAUCACCCCAACAAAACAUACUAAAUGGCCCAGUGAAACCUCACAAACGAAAAGAGACCAUAUAAAUGUCAAACUCUAUAGGGUCUUCUCGUCCCAUAAAAACAUCUAAGAAUUUUAACUCAAAGACCAAAUUCAAUAAACAAUUCAAAAUUAAGACAGCCCAUGCCUCGUCAAGCCAUUCAUACCAGAUCACAAUUAAAGAACUAAUGACUAUGCUACCUUUGCACGGUCAAAAUACCGCGGCCCUUCAACAUCAAAGUCAGCGGGCAGGCCAUACUUCAAAAACUAA